rnacentral:sRNA from 20 species
ACAUGUUUGAUUCGUCGCAUGCCAGGUAAAUGGUUUUUAUAGUAUUGGGGAAACCGGAUGAAAAAUCCGGGUGGCGAAGC